UGGUCCUUAUUUAUAGUUUGGGGGUGGAGGCAACCCCACUUCCUUGAUAUGAUUGCUCCUGCUGGGGGAGUGACCUCAUCUUGGGUGGUCUGUAAGGCCCUGCUUUUCUUGGAAUCCGAGGUGAUUGCACACUUAGGACAACGACUGGAGAAUUCCAGGCAUCACUCCAGGGGUUCCGGAAAUGGAUUUCUGAAAGCUGGCAAUUAGGUGUCAGUGCAAAUCCUGAAAAUUAGUUGCUCUUGUGUUGGUCUUCUUAACCUUGAAAGGGCAUGGGAUAGUUCAGGUAAAGUUAGGGUAGAAAAUCUUGGAUUACAAGUUGUUGAGAUACUCCUUAGGUGAUCAACAAUCAAAAUCAGCCCCAUUUUCCUUCAGAGUUGGAACUGUUCGCCAUUUCUUUAAUUCAUACCUGGCUUGCAAUGCUAGGGGUCUACGGUGUGUAUAAAGUUGUAUAUUUCUAAGCCAGCACUCUUUCCUAGAAUUUUCUGCAGUGAUGGAAGUGUUCCUUAUCUAUGCUGUGGCUAUACAGUGCUUGAAAUGUAGCUAGAGACUGAGGAACUGAAUAUUUUAUUUGAAUAAACUUAAAUAAAUUUAAAUAAUUAUAUGUAGUUACUAUGUUAGACACGGCGAUUCUAAAAAUUAGAGGCCUGCUGAGAACUGGGCGUGUGGUAGGUUCUCCCCAGAUUCAGACUGCAGAAAUAAGAGGCAGGAGUGCCUCCCUCCUCCACGGGCCCGGCCUGUGGGAUCUGCACUGUUUCAGCAGAGGUAGAGACAGAAACUCUUGCAUCAUUUUAUUUUAUUUUAUUUCAUUUCAUUUGGUUUUUGGAGACAGAGUCUCACUAUAUAGUUCAGACUGACCUUGAACUCACUAUGCAGCGCAGGGGUGCAGCAAUCGUCCUGCUUCAGUCUCCUGAGUGCUGGGAUUAUAGUAUUGGUGAUAAAAAGAGGGCCUCAGCACUGACCCAUUACUUCACGUACCCUCACACUUUUUGAGAGUCUUAUUCAGUUGCCAGGCUGAACUGAGACUUUCGAUCAUCCUGCCUCGGCCUCGCAGCUUUCAGAGCCUUUCAAGCCACAGCACUGCAUGCCUCUGGGAGCAGGAGUGCUGCUUUCCUGGCUCCCUCAUGAUUUGAAGAACCAUAGUUUGCCUGCUAGUUUCUGACACUUCCUGGACAUGAUUCACAGCAUUGUUAUUGAAGACUCGUUUCUGAAGAUGCCUUGGGUGUCUGCCUCCUCUGACACAUGAUCUUCCACAAGGAAGACUUGUAUAGACCUGGCAGUGACAUCUCAGUGAAAAUGGCUCUUUCUUUUCUUCUGCUGACAUAACAUUUAUGUUAUUUAUUUGCAUCGCUUGUCACUAAUGGAUGAAGUAGUUCUCAGAAGAUGGCAUAACACAGUGGUCUAAAUUCCUAGAUUCAAUACUCUGAUUUUGCUUCAAGUCGUAUAAAUCUUUCAUUCUGUUAAAAUUCCUAGAUCCAGACAGACUUGGUUCUACCAUGUGCUAGUUGUUUGACUCUGGGCAAGCUGUCAAAUCUUGCUAUGUUUGACAUUCUCAUUUAUAAAGAGGCAUGAUAAUAAUAACUUUCGCUUAGGAUUUUUUUUAUGAGGAUUAAACAAAUGUAAAAAUGCUUAACAAGUCCCACAAAAUUAGUCUCUCUGCAGAUAUUAGCUGUCAUAUUUGUUGCUAUUGUUUUCAUCAUUGUCAGUGCCUUUGGGACCUCCCUGUGACAACUGGCAGUCGAACAUCUGAGAAUGCAACUGAGGCACGGUGGUGCACUUCUGUAAUUCCAGUUCUCUGAGAGCGAAGGUCAUAAACUUGGGCCCUGUGUAGUCAACUCAGCAAGUUAGCAAGACUCUAUUUAACAAUAAAAAUAUUGAGGAUGUAGCUCAAUGCAAAGGCCUUGAGUUUAAUCUGAGAGAGAGAGAGAGAGAGAGAGAGAGAGACAGAGACAGACAGAGAGAGAGAGAAAAGAGUCAGAGACACAGAGACAGGUUAUGGAUGUGCGAGCUAUACCAAAAUAAAACCUCUAAUUCUGCUAAUCAUCUCAUUCUGGGUUCUAGUCUCCCUAGACCAGGGACAGCCGAACCACUGAACUUGUUUUGAGCAUAUUCAGGACUUCUAAUUCCUUCAGGGGAUGUACUUUAUCAACCCCUACUCUCUGUGUAAGUUGACAGAAGGAGAGCUCAAUAGGUGGCCUUAAAUACACUCUGAUGCAUUCCCGAUUCUCAAUAAAUACCUGUUGAAUAUUGACCAAGCAUUUAGCUGUUCAUGGUUUGGGGCACAAAGCUUACAUUUCACAUAUUCCUUUCUAUUUUGAUUGACUUCCUCCUUUUUUUGAAAGUAU